rnacentral:rRNA from 1 species
UACGUAGGGUGCAAGCGUUGUCCGGAAUUAUUGGGCGUAAAGAGCUUGUAGGCGGUUUGUCGCGUCUGCUGUGAAAUUUCGGGGCUCAACCCCGAACUUGCAGUGGGUACGGGCAGACUAGAGUGUGGUAGGGGAGACUGGAAUUCCUGGUGUAGCGGUGAAAUGCGCAGAUAUCAGGAGGAACACCGAUGGCGAAGGCGGCUCUCUGGGACGGUACUGACGCUGAGACGCGAAAGCGUGGGGAGCGAACAGG